rnacentral:rRNA from 1 species
GACGAACGCUGGCGGCGUGCUUAACACAUGCAAGUCGAGCGGCAGCGCGGGGGCAACCCUGGCGGCGAGCGGCGGACGGGUGAGUAAUACAUCGGAACGUGUCCUUUCGUGGGGGAGUAACCAGUCGAAAGACUGGCUAAUACCGCAUGAGAUCUCACGAUGAAAGCGAGGACCGCAAGGCCUCGCGCGAUUGGAGCGGCCGAUGUCGGAUUAGCUAGUUGGACGGGGAAAAGCCCACCAAGGCUGCGAUCCGUAGCUGGUUUGAGAGAACGACCAGCCACACUGGGACU